GAUGCUGGUCACCAUGUAAAAAUGCGGGGUGACUGUGCCCCAGGCUUCCACCCCAGGUGGGUGGAGAAUCUGUCAGGAAGGGGCGUUCUGUGCGUGGACCAGAGGCCUUGGAAUGAGCCGACGUGGUUCCAUUUCCAUGAAUGAAGGGACAUCUGCACGGAGGUUCCUACUAGCUUGGCGUACAAAGAGGUCUGUGUCCCAGCAAACUCCAUGUCCGUGUGUGUGUUUUACAGUCGGGGAACUGAGGGCAGAGAGGCGAGCUCACGUGCGUGCGUGCAGGCGUGGCCCAGGACGAGAGCCUGUGUUUGGAGGACCUUUUCAUUACAACUCUUACACUGCCCAAGCUUGUCACCGGCCAUGUAAAAUCGUCCUCAAUGUCAAUGUAAGUUUUGGGGCCAGAGGAUGAAACGAGUCGGGAAGGUAAGACGGGACACGUGGGUGGAAUACCACGUGGGCCAUGUUGCUUGCGCUUUGACGGCCGAGCCAGGGGCUGGGUGAGCGCCAAGGCGCCGGGGGUCCCCCCCACCCGCCAUCCGCUCCAGCGGGCCUGGCCGUGUGUCUCUCCCCCGAGAGACACUCGCUCCUGCUGAGGGGGGGGGCACAGGCUGCCGCGGCAACGUGUUGAGGCUCAGACAGGUGCAGGCACUGUGUUUAGGGAGCUGGGAAACGUCCCCAGUCUCAGGGUCGGAAGGGACCCGGGGCCUCGGGCCCCCCAUUCAUCCCCUGCUGUAGGAGGGCCCUCCUCACUGCUCCAGACGACACUGCCUCUCUGAACAGCUGGCAUCCGUAACAGUGAUUUUAGGGAGUAAGCGAACCAAAUCCUGUUUUCUUGACAUUCACUCUCCCACUGCACCAGAGGGUUCCACCACUCACGGACUCUGGUCCGGAAACGUCUCUUCCGCGGCUCCACGGCCGGAUGCAGCACGGAGGAGAAAAGCAGCGGCCGUCGCUGGAGACCCCCUGCCAGGCUAUCCUCAAAAUGCUCUAGUCCUCGGCCAUUUUAGCCCAAAUGCUCGCACGUUUUGACAACGUCUCCUGGCGUAUGAGCCGUGAGGUGCCUUCGCUGGGACUCAUCUGCUCGGGCCUGCUAAUUUGAGGAGCCAAGUGCUAACGGGAGACAUUCCGCAUGGUUCUUGGCCCAGAAAAUAUCUGUUUUCACUGCAGCCAUCAAGUCCUCAAAAUCAAGAGAACUAACUCAGGUGUUUCCAGCACCGUGACGGGAGGCGGGCAUUUUUGUCCGAGGGCCUUCGCACGACCUUCCCCGCACACAACGACCACGGAAACACCGUGUGUAUUCACCCCACGGCUGCUACCAGACUUUGAUGAGCUGGAAAAUCUGUACGUUACGGGCGGAGUCCCGAAUAAGGAGGAUCGAAUCCACACAAGGCGCUUGAUCUAAAUAUUUACAAGGAAUUCUGAUCAGAUGCUCACUGUCCAAAUUAAUAUUAUUUCAUCUGAAAAUACAAGAGUGUUUUCAUCCAAAAUCAGCUGUUGUUUGGAGUCCAAUCAGCGUACCAUGCGGCAAAACACAACAGAGGAGCACGAUGUGCGGUGACAGGUAACGUGGCCGGUCAAUGACCGAGAGGGGCAGAAUCCGCACCGAGCCGUGGAACUCACCCUCCCCUGGGCCCACGCCACCCGACCUCACGUACGGCCUUCAACAGAGUCCCUGGAACGUGGGCCUGCAGGCGUGGACCUUCCCCGGAUGUGCUCACCACGCUGGGGGGCCCAGGGCUCCCAGCAGACGGGACGUGUCCGCCCACACGCGGGGGACAGCCAACCCGGGCCCGGGAGCCCGUGAUGUGAACCAGGGAACCCGACAAUCUAAGUGGGGGCGCGGAAGCUGUUUGGGGUUAGACAUGAGACGGCACAGGAUACGUGUUCAGAGGGUGACUAUGCAUGUGGCUAUCGUAGCCCUCGCUCAACUGCUUCCCAAGUGAGAGAAAGGAGCGGAGGGACCUGAGCGCAUCGCAGGUCUGAUGACGGAGUACGUGGGCUGCUGGAGAAAGCCUCCCAGGUCGCUCUGUGUCCUGGAAAUGGGGCCCUGGGCCAGGCAGAGUGGAGAGUCGACUGGAGUCAUUACCUCCACGACUGUGUCUCCAGGAGCAGUGGCCCAUGGAAAAGGUCACCUUUGAGCGCCAGGUCAGAGAAGUCACUUUCUCAAAGGACCACCAGUCUAGCCUCUCUCUGAUUUCCUUGUCCCUGGUCCCCUCGACAUCCAGCAUCUCUGUGAACGGUGAAUCCGCUGAGGGCAGACUGUCUCCUGGGGUGCAGAUCCAUUGGUGGAUUCCCACAUUCGCCUUUCCCCCUUACGGAGACUUGAAAAUGACUUAUUUAGAGGUGCCUGGGUGGCUCAGUUGGUUAAGCGUCCGACCCUUGAUCUCAGCCCCGGUCGCGAUC